UACGUAGGGACCAAGCGUUGUUCGGAUUUACUGGGCGUAAAGGGCGCGUAGGCGGCUUAACAAGUCACUUGUGAAAUCUCCGGGCUUAACUCGGAACGGCCAAGUGAAACUGUCAAGCUAGAGUGCAGAAGGGGCAAUCGGAAUUCUUGGUGUAGCGGUGAAAUGCGUAGAUAUCGGGAGGAACACCAAUUGCGAAGGCAGCUCGCUGGGACGUCACUGACGCUGAGACGCGAAAGCGUGGGGAGCAAACAGGG
rnacentral:rRNA from 1 species